rnacentral:rRNA from 1 species
AGAGUGAACGCUGGCGGUAGGCCUAACACAUGCAAGUCGAACGGCAGCACGGUAAGAGCUUGCUCUUAUGGGUGGCGAGUGGCGGACGGGUGAGGAAUACAUCGGAAUCUACCUUUUGGUGGGGGAUAACGGUAGGGAAACUUACGCUAAUACCGCAUACGCCCUUCGGGGGAAAGCCGGGGGACCAGCGAAUGGCCUGGUGCUGAUAGAUGAGCCGAUGUCGGAUUAGCUAGUUGGUGAGGUAAUGGCUCACCAAGGCGUACGAUCCGUAGCUGGUCUGAGAGGAUGAUCAGCCUACACGUGGAACUGAGACCACGGUCCAGACUCCGUACGGGAGCAGCAGGUGGGAAUGUGA